UCUUCGAUAGUACAGCGGUUAGUAUAUCCGCCUUUCACGCGGGAGAUCGGGGUUCGAUUCCCCGUCGGAGAA
rfam:Cryptococcus dejecticola CBS 10117 unplaced genomic scaffold supercont1.3, whole genome shotgun sequence.